rnacentral:rRNA from 1 species
AGAGUUUGAUCCUGGCUCAGAACGAACGCGGCGGCGUGGAUUAGGCAUGCAAGUCGAAGGAGCUUUUAGCUUUUUCGAAAGCUUAGUGGCGAAAGGGUGAUUAACACGUGGGUAACAUGCCCUGGAGAACGGGAUAACCUAUCGAAAGAUGGGCUAAUACCGUAUACGUUUCAUGAAUACAAGUUCAUGAAGGAAAGAUGGGGAUCCGCAAGGACCUAUCGCUCUUGGAUGGGCCCGCGGCCUAUCAGCUAGUUGGUGAGGUAACGGCUCACCAAGGCUAAGACGGGUAGCUGGUCUGAGAGGAUGGUCAGCCACACUGGGACUGAGACACUGCCCAGACACCUACGGGUGGCUGCAGUCGAGAAUCUUUCGCAAUGGGGGAAACCCUGACGAAGCGACGCCGCGUGCAGGAUGAAGGCCUUAGGGUUGUAAACUGCUGUCAGCUGGGAAGAAAAGGUCGGUCACGAAUACUGACCGGCUCUGACGGUACCAGCAGAGGAAGCCACGGCUAACUCUGUGCCAGCAGCCGCGGUAAUACAGAGGUGGCGAGCGUUGUUCGGAUUCAUUGGGCGUAAAGGGUCCGUAGGCGGUCCGGAAAGUCAAGUGUGAAAUCCUACAGCUUAACUGUAGAACUGCACUCGAAACUUCCGGACUAGAGUGUGAGAGGGGUGAAGGGAAUUCCCAGUGUAAGGGUGAAAUCUGCAGAGAUUGGGAAGAACACCUGUCGCGAAGGCGCUUCACUGGCUCAUGACUGACGCUGAGGGACGAAAGCUAGGGUAGCAAACGGGAUUAGAUACCCUGGUAGUC